rnacentral:rRNA from 1 species
UACGUAGGGGGGCAAGCGUUGUCCGGAUUUAUUGGGCGUAAAGAGCGUGUAGGCGGCCAGAAAAGUCCGCUGUGAAAACUCGAGGCUCAACUUCGAGCUGUCGGUGGAAACUUUCUGGCUAGAGUCCGGAAGAGGAGAAUGGAAUUCCUGGUGUAGCGGUGAAAUGCGCAGAUAUCAGGAAGAACACCCGUGGCGAAGGCGGCUCUCUGGGACGGUACUGACGCUGAGACGCGAAAGCGUGGGGAGCAAACAGG